rnacentral:ncRNA from 2 species
GCAGUGGCUCAUUCACCGACUUAUGUCAGCCCCUUCGGGACGUGCUACAUAAAAUUCGAAUGACGCACAACAAGGUGCCUGCCGUCCAACUUCUGAUAUCAGCGUAGCUAUAUCAACCAUCGGGCGAAACGUCGAGUUAGGCACCGCCUUAUUCCAUAACAAAGCCGGGUAAUUCCCGGCUUUGUUGU